CUUGGAGCUUGCGGGUACGAUCUGGAACCUGUCGCCCAAAAGCGGCUGGUGGCUCGGUUCCACUGCCGACCAGACCUCCCAAAAACACACCUUCCUGUGGGGGUGUGGAAAACCUGCUUGAGUGAGGUUUGGACCUUAUUCAAGGUGGUGAAUAGGUUUACGUGUUUUUUUAAGCUCUGCGAUGAAAGCGUUGUCAAAUAAUAGUCAUUGUGCCUUCGGGCUGAAUUCCUUUGCCCCUAGAUCCAGGAGCUUGUUGUCUAUGUGGAUCAGUGCCGACUUGCGUCUUUCGGUGCACAAUACGGCAUUAGCGUUGCCCAGAAGGCAUAUUAAUC